GAGUUUGAUCUUGGCUCAGGAGGAACGCUGGCGGCGUGCCUAACACAUGCAAGUCGAACGGAGUUCCUAAGGAAUGCGGCUUCGGCCAAAUGACUUUUGAACUUAGUGGCGGACGGGUGAGUAACGCGUGAGCAACCUGCCUUUCAGAGGGGAUAACAUUUGGAAACAGAUGCUAAUACCGCAUAAGAUUACAGGUACCGCAUGAUACAGUGAUCAAAGGAGCAAUCCGCUGAAAGAUGGGCUCGCGUCCGAUUA
rnacentral:rRNA from 1 species